rnacentral:lncRNA from 1 species
AUGGUGUACUUUCCUGGCAUCAGCCCAGGACAGGUAGCUGCGGUUCAUGAAGUGCAAGAGGAGAUCUCUACUUGGACCGAAGGACAGCAGUGUACUUACUCAGUCAUCACGGUGGGAACUGCUUGGAGGAGUAGCUGGCCCUGGGACAGUCACCAAACUCACCGCUCCACAGCACAUCGCUUCUGUCGUGGUUGUUUCUGGCUGCCCUGUCUUCUGAGCUCCGCGGGACUCCAGCUCUGUGCCCUGAACGGGGCACCUGUGCACCCAGGUACGUUUCUGCCUUCACUCGUCUUUCGAGUGCUCUGGUUUUCUCUCUCUGACCAGGUAUAAAGACAAAGUCAUCAUCAUCCAUUCUCCUUUCUCGUUGCUCGGCACGUGGGAACUGACCGUUUUGAGCUGUUUCUCACCAAGCCCCAGGGCUGCAUUUCGGCUCUUGGAAAUGGAGUCCUUGUUGUAGGUGCAUGCUUUGGGUGCCAGGCAUUUUGUGUUCCUUGGCCACUAGCCAGUUCCCACACCUAUGUGCAGAGCUAAGAAUCUGUGCAACUGCGGUGACGCGGAUGAUUGUGCAAUUGCCCGGAUCCUUCAGGGAAGGGGGGAGUGCUGCCGCGUGAGCCAGGUGAGAGUGGCCAUGGACACCUUGCACAGGAAGGAAGAGCUCUCUCCUUUAUUAAAGUAUUCCCUAGCCGCGCGGCUAAAUCUUGGGUGUAGGGUAGGCAUGGCAGGUGGCUAAAGUGCCCCUGGGAAUUGUGAAAGUGGUCUUCCUUUGUUAAAGUUUAUUGUUCCCCAAAGUGAUUUAUGUAACCAGGUACUGGGCUAGGGAUCUCCCCUGGCUCACAGACUGCCUGCUUUUCCUAGGGUUACUGUAACAAUGUAGCACCAACUUGUCGACUUCAAACAACAGAAAUCUGCCCUCUUACAAUGUUGGAGACUACAAAGAGGCGCUGGUGAGACAGCUUCCAGCAUUUGGUCCAUGCAGGUAUUCCUUUGUUUGUGUUGUCAUCACUCUGAUGCCUGCCUCCAUCUUCCCAUGAUGGGCUUCUCUCUGCGUGUGUGUGUCUCUGGAUCUUCACAAAGUUUCUCGCUGCCUGGCAGAGUCUGUGUCCAAAUUUCCCUCUCUUCAUAAGGGCACCAGUCAUACGAUCACUGGAUCAAAGCCAAUGCCAAUGACAUCAUCUCAACUUGCUUGAAUGUGUAGGACACAUGUAAAAAAAAAUCCACCAGUGUGAGGCCACUGGUCGUUGUCUUAGUCUUUUUCCUGUGGCUGGAACAGAGUAGCUGAGACCAGGUAACUUACAAGG